UUGGUCCAAAGUUCGAAGGGGUAUAGGUUUUCGGACCUAGAGACCGGCGCACGGGUCGCUUGUAACGCGUAUGCAAUCUACCUUUUACAGAGGGAUAGCCCAGAGAAAUUUGGAUUAAUACCUCAUAGCAUUAUUGAAUGGCAUCAUUUAAUAAUUAAAGUCACAACGGUAAAAGAUGAGCAUGCGUCCCAUUAGCUAGUUGGUAAGGUAACGGCUUACCAAGGCAACGAUGGGUAGGGGUCCUGAGAGGGAGAUCCCCCACACUGGAACUGAGACACGGUCCAGACACCUACGGGUGGCAGCAGUCGAGAAUUUUUCACAAUGGGCGCAAGCCUGAUGGAGCGACGCCGCGUGGGGGAUGAAUGGCUUCGGCCCGUAAACCCCUGUCAUUUGCGAACAAAUUGGUUCAAUUAACACCUGAACCAUUGAUAGUAGCGAAAGAGGAAGGGACGGCUAACUCUGUGCCAGCAGCCGCGGUAAUACAGAGGUCCCAAGCGUUGUUCGGAUUUACUGGGCGUAAAGGGCGCGUAGGCGGCCACCGCAAGUCAGUUGUGAAAUCUCUGGGCUUAACCCAGAAAGGUCAACUGAUACUGCGGGGCUAGAGUGCAGAAGGGGCAACUGGAAUUCUCGGUGUAGCGGUGAAAUGCGUAGAUAUCGAGAGGAACACCUGCGGCGAAGGCGGGUUGCUGGGCUGACACUGACGCUGAAGCGC
rnacentral:rRNA from 1 species